AGUUGGCUAACUUUGCUGGAUCAGUAGUAAUUCUCUGAGUAGCUCAUAGCCUUUUCUUUUUUUCUCUUUUUUUCUUUGUAAUUUAAAGAGGUCUUUGCCCCUAUGUAGGUUCCUUUGAAAUAGAUGUGCUCAAUCAUUUUUCCAUUAAGAACUGAGUUGGGUUAUAUCAUAGCUCAUUUUCUCCCCAGUAAACCAACUGUCUCAUUGUUUCCUUUAAGUUCUGAUUCAUGGGAUCAGAAUGUGCUAACGUUCUGAGAUGUAGUAAGCAUUCUGUCAUGUUGCUCCACUGAUGUACCAUAAAAUAAGAUAUUGUCCAUGGACAUCAUAACCCCUUUUACAUUUCUGAGGAACUCUCAUUUUUUUCCCUCUCACAGAUGCUAGAAAUACUGAUACUAAACAGCAAGCAUAUAACAAAUGUAUUGAUUUUAUUUCUUUAUCCUGUUGAAGAGAUUUACCAUGCAGGAAGCACAAAUCAACCUAUGUGGGAUUCUCUGACAAUCUCCCCUUCUGGACACUAAACAAGCGGAGACCAGCUUAACUGAAAUAGCAAGUAGCUGUGCUGACCCUGAGGUAUUAGAAGAGGAAUGGGGUGUCACCAGAGAUUCACGCUCUACCCUCAUGGAAGAAUAUAAGAAACUGUUUUAUACUGAAACAGACCAUUGCUCCACCCGCAGUCCACUAUCAUUAAAUGUUAGCCAGCCACAGACAAAAUUUAUUUAUGCUACUUAAAGGAUCCUAGCAUUUCUGGUGGGCUUUCUCCAGAUAUGAAUUUGGCUGGUCCUACAUAGCUUCUUAUGAGAUUAGGCACGUUCAUGUCUUUACAGCAGGAUAUGUUCCCAAAAUUAAUGACUGUGGAAUGGAAUGCCACAAAACAAGCUAUCAUGGAAAAAACAAGAAAUUCCAAGAAGCUGGAAAAGGAAGGGUGAUUAUUUUUCCUCACAGAGCAAACUAGAAAGGAAAGUGAAAUCAAUGAUUAAUUUGAAAGUGUGAGAUAGAAGGAUGGAAUGAGAUGGCAGAGAGGAAAAUGUAAUUUUAAAAAAACAAAUCAGCUAUUACAAAUGAUUUCAGAGGCCCUUGUUUAAUACAAUUUUAAUGUAUACUCUUAAUCUCUUCCUUUUUAAUGCUGUAUCAUUUUUGAUGUGCACUGCAGUCCACCUUGGGGGUGUACAUUUUGUGGACACACUGUUGGUGGUCUGGCUUUGAACUGCCCUGUGAGAGUAUGACUUUCCCAAGGCCACUCAAUGGGUUUCCAUGAUUGAGUGACGCCAUGCAAAUCACAGAAGAGAUGUUCCUAGGCAAUCAUCACCCUUCACCAGCAACAACCCCUAAUGCCGUCCCUCUAUUAAAAAUACUUGAUCCUUUUCAAUUCACCAUUCCCCCUCCGCAAGUCACAGCAACGUCAAUAUCUAUUCCUGUUUAUUUUCCAAGCUCUGUACCUUACCAGCUAGAUACUAUCUCACUUUGUUUUCUUUUAUUUGCCCCUCUAUUUUUUUUUAAUUCAGCAUACACCUGAAUGUUGCUGGACUACAACGUACACCAUUUUAACUGCUUGUAUAUGCUGCUUUGGUUCACCCUAAAGUAAUAAGUUUUGCAGUUCAAGAUAUGCCCCAUUUGUCAUGAGAGCUUAAAGAAAUAGAAAGAACCGAAAGCCUAACAGUGAUUUCAUACUCAAUGUGAAGAAUUCCUCUUCUAAGGAAGCUUAAGAAGCUUAAGUUGACUUUUUCCAGUUAGCCCUCUAAAAAAAGUAGCUCCUCAAAGAGCAUAUUAAAUCAGCAACUUUUCUAGUGAAAUUCUUUAGUAAAUUUAGUCACUAUUAGUCCCAUACUAGAAUCCAACAAUAAGUCUGCUCUUAAAAACUGACAAUAAGACUUGCUAAAAUCAAUACAUGUUUGCUAUGUGUCUGGCUAUACAGCUUCCCAUCAAGGUUUAGACUUCUGGGAAGACAGGAUUUUAUUUAUGUAUCAGAAUAUAAAGUGCUCCUUUCUGCAAUGUCCCUUCUAAGUUACAGAGGGGCAAAGUUGCUAAUAAUUUUCAUAUUCCUCAUUUGUCUGUGUGUGUAAGUUUACACUAUGCUAUUGUUAGCUAUGCUGAAAAUGUGACUGGAGGGUUAACCCUGAAAAAUAACAGACAAGACUAGCUCAGAUGUCCAAAGGUCCAGGAAUCUAGCAGUGUUCCAUACUAGAAUGCCAGUUCAAUCCUAUGCAGCUACUUCAAAUUAAGCCCCAUUUAUUCCAGUAGGAUUUACUCCCAGGUAAAUAUGUGCAUAGUUGGCCCUCCACUUUUGUGAGAGUUAGGGGUGCAGCCUUCUUUGCAAAGGUGGAAAAACUUUAGUGAGAAAUGGGGCACCACUAACGUGUUUCCAGGGAAAAGAAGGGAAGGAGCUAGCCAUGUGCACAACUGCCACAUCAUUUAACCUGUGGGUUCCAGAUCCUGGUCCUCUUCCUUUGUGUAAUGUAUUUUUUGUUUUCCUUGGUACGUCUUUUCCUUUGCUCAGACAAAACAGACAUAUAUGCAUCAUGCAGAAAGAGGAAAAAGUGCUGGAAUCCACACAAUAAAUGCUAUUGCAGCCAGGUGUGAGGCCUGCUCAUCCUCCCCUUUCUGCAUGCACAAUGGUUGAUCCCAAAUGCCGACUACCGGUUACAUCAUGAUAUAUCUUUGUUGCUACCAAUCUAAAUGUAUUGGUCUAUGGCCUCACCAUUCACUCUUCCCUAUCCCACUGGCCCACUGACCACCAGAGUCAGUUUACAGAGCCAAUCCAAAAAUGAAGGGAAACUCCGACUUAAAUGGUUAUGGCUGUUAUGCAGACAGGCUCCCUUCUUAUAUUGAUGCACAGAAAGACACACUGAAUACCUGUGGUGAAGUAUCAACAGUUUUGUGAAGUUUAUUUGAACUAGAACAAGAAGGUUGCUCGGAUAUUAGGAGAGGUUUGGACAUGUAAUGGUUUCAGAAGAUUAUCCAGCUGUUUCCUUAAAAGAAAUUGGUUCCCCAAUUUGUCUUCCACAGAACUAUGUUCACCCACAGGAGAACUAAUCGGGCUUUACAAAACCCCUCAGUCCUCCCUUCCAGAGGCUCUUAAUAAAAACACUCUGUCCUUUAGGGGCUCUCUAAAAUGCUGCACUUCUCCCCAAAGGCUAUUUUUAUCCCCCCACCCCCACAUACACACACACACACACAGGUUUUUUCUUCUGAUUUCCAAACACUUCCUUACUCCUCCUCAGACUCCUCUCGGUCUCCCCGAUUAUCUUUCUCUCUCUGGUGCCCUUUACCUUCUGUAGCUAGGCAACACUCUUUCACUCCCCCACCAAUCAGGCACCACUGCCAUAUAAGGAGUGGGGUGUUCCCUCCUCCUUUAGCUUGGAUCGGGCCUUUUCUCCCAGGGCCUAGAACUUUUCCUACACACUGGUCUGGCAAGGUAGGCCUAUUCCGUUACACUACAUGUGUCUGCUUUGCCUGAGGAAAGGAAGGGAAGUAUCAGGGAAAACAGAUGCAUGCUUCAUGGAGGAGGAGAAAGAGGAGGUUCCAUAUGCCAAUUCACCUUUCCCGUGGAUCUCUCAUCCUCUGUGCUAUAUGUGCUUCUUUCACAGAGGAACAGCAAGGGAGACACCAGUUGAAACAGACAUAUAUAGUACAUUCAGCUCCCAAACACCCUCCUGCUCACUUUCGAAGAAUGGGGCCUGCCAUGGGAAUGUUCAUGCAACAGCUUCAUCUCUGAGAGAUGAGCAAGGCACAGGGAGUGGUGACUCCACCUGCCUCCACUAAACUCCAGGACAAAGAGUCUCAGAGUGAUUCCAAUAAAUGACUACCAUAACCAUUUUACACAAAUAAUCAUUUAAAAAUAAUUUGUAUAAUAAUGGAACACCUGAACAUGUCUAAAUAUUCAAAUAUUGCUUUUCUAUCACUGCUAGUUAAAGGUGAAUUAAAAAUAAAACAGAAUGCUUUGUGAGUAUACUCACCUACAAAAUGUGAAUCCAUUUCUGAGCUCUUGCUUCCAAUUCAGUGUGAAUGGUUUCAUGUCUCCAGCUUUGAAUAUUAUGUUACAGCUUUGGUGAAUCAAAAUUGAAAGCUGCUAGAAGGGCUGCUUCAAAUAUGCAAUAUGCCUUUGCUCAAAGUAAAUCUGUUUAGCUUUGA